AAAAAAGGUAAGCUACUAAGAGCGAAUGGUGGAUGCCUUGACUGGUAAAGGCGAUGAAGGACGUACUAGACUGCGAUAAGCUACGGGGAGCUGUCAAGAAGCUUUGAUCCGUAGAUUUCCGAAUGGGGCAACCCAAUGUAUAGAGAUAUACAUUACCUAUAUAGGAGCGAACGAGGGGAAUUGAAACAUCUUAGUACCCUCAGGAAAAGAAAUCAAUAGAGAUUGCGUCAGUAGCGGCGAGCGAAAGCGCAAGAGGGCAAACCCAGUGCUUGCACUGGGGGUUGUAGGACUGCAAUGUGCAAGAGGUAAGUUUAGCAGAACAUUCUGGAAAGUAUAACCAUAGAGGGUGAUAGUCCCGUAUGCGAAAAACAAACCUUAGCUAGCAGUAUCCUGAGUAGGGCGGGACACGAGGAAUCCUGUCUGAAUCCGGGUCGACCACGAUCCAACCCUAAAUACUAAUACCAGAUCGAUAGUGCACAAGUACCGUGAGGGAAAGGUGAAAAGAACUGAGGUGAUCAGAGUGAAAUAGAACCUGAAACCAUUUGCUUACAAUCAUUCAGAGCCUUAUGUAGCAAUACAGGGUGAUGGACUGCCUUUUGCAUAAUGAGCCUGCGAGUUGUGGUGUCUGGCAAGGUUAAGCAAACGCGAAGCCGUAGCGAAAGCGAGUCUGAAUAGGGCGCUUAGUCAGAUGCUGCAGACCCGAAACGAAGUGAUCUAUCCAUGAGCAAGUUGAAGCUAGUGUAAGAACUAGUGGAGGACUGAACCCAUAGGCGUUGAAAAGCCCCGGGAUGACUUGUGGAUAGGGGUGAAAGGCCAAUCAAACUUCGUGAUAGCUGGUUCUCUCCGAAAUAUAUUUAGGUAUAGCGUUGUGUCGUAAUAUAAGGGGGUAGAGCACUGAAUGGGCUAGGGCAUACACCAAUGUACCAAACCCUAUCAAACUCCGAAUACCUUAUAUGUAAUCACAGCAGUCAGGCGGCGAGUGAUAAAAUCCGUCGUCAAGAGGGAAACAACCCAGACUACCAGCUAAGGUCCCUAAAUCUUACUUAAGUGGAAAACGAUGUGAAGUUACUUAAACAACCAGGAGGUUGGCUUAGAAGCAGCCAUCCUUUAAAGAAAGCGUAAUAGCUCACUGGUCUAGUGAUUUUGCGCGGAAAAUAUAACGGGGCUAAAGUAAGUACCGAAGCUGUAGACUUAGUU
rnacentral:rRNA from 1 species